rnacentral:rRNA from 1 species
AUGGUGGAAGCGCGGAGAUCCCGUGUCCGCGGACGGCUACACGCUCAAGGCAAAGGUGCAGGUGGAGGAGCUCACCAAGGAGCUCGCCGGAGUAAAAAGCAGUCGGUGAAGGCACAUCAAGGCACAAUGAACAAUGAGGGGAAAUCUGAGGCAGUCAAAGCCUACAUUUCUCAUGAGACUUAUCAGGACAAGUAUGAGUGUGUGCUGAAGGCCAAUGGCAAUCUGGAAAAGCAGGUUCUAUCCUUGGAGGAGAAGUACGCGAACGCAACACGAGCGAAUGGCAAGCUGGAGGAGGAGGUUCUGUUCCUCAAGGAGAAGUAUGAGGCAAUGCUUGAGAAAAAUACCAGGCUGGAGGGGCAUGUGGCUGCUCUGUCCACUUCUUUCCUAUCUCUCAAGGAGGGCAUGCAGUUUCUGAAUGAUGGGGAUCAGCAGUUGCAGAUCAUGGGAGCAGAGCCGCGUCUUUCUUCUGUGUGCCAAGGAGUACUGCAAAGCUGA